rnacentral:rRNA from 1 species
GAUGAACGCUGGCGGCGUGCCUAAUACGUGCAAGUCGAGCGAACAGACGAGGAGCUUGCUCCUCUGACGUUAGCGGCGGACGGGUGAGUAACACGUGGAUAACCUACCUAUAAGACUGGGAUAACUUCGGGAAACCGGAGCUAAUACCGGAUAAUAUAUUGAACCGCAUGGUUCAAUAGUGAAAGACGGUUUCGCUGUCACUUAUAGAUGGAUCCGCGCCGCAUUAGCUAGUUGGUAAGGUAACGGCUUACCAAGGCAACGAUGCGUAGCCGACCUGAGAGGGUGAUCGGCCACACUGGAACUGAGACACGGUCCAGACUCCUACGGGAGGCAGCAGUAGGGAAUCUUCCGCAAUGGGCGAAAGCCUGACGGAGCAACGCCGCGUGAGUGAUGAAGGUCUUCGGAUCGUAAAACUCUGUUAUUAGGGAAGAACAAAUGUGUAAGUAACUAUGCACGUCUUGACGGUACCUAAUCAGAAAGCCACGGCUAACUACGUG